UGGCAGUUGAUUGGCUGGUGCAGGCCGCUAAGCAGGGACGGAAGAGUGCAGCCCGUCUUCUACAGCGCUGCUGGAUCCAGAGGACAGGUAUCGGUGAGGAUAAUGAGGAGGAGGUGCGUCGUCUGUCGACAGAGAGCAGGUUUGAGCAGACGGUUCGGAAGGCGGCCAUGAUGAUGUUCAGGAAGCUGAACCCGACAGGAAGGAGAAGAUGGCGGUGUCUGAGAUGAUGGAGAACGUUGGACAGGUCAACGCUGCGCACGGUGGCGCCACCACGGACCAAACCCAGAAAGUCCUGGAGAACAUGGUCACUG